UUCCUCGAGUCGGAUUUGAACCAACGACCUAAGGAUCACUUAAACAUCUACAGUCAGCCACUUUGCCAACUGAGCUAUCGAGGGA